rnacentral:lncRNA from 1 species
AUUGCUUAUAUACUCCUGAAAAGUUUCCGCCUUUUCGAUUUACCCCUCUUAGAAGGCUAAUAUUAAAAAUACCCUUUCUACGUUCCAAUCUAUUUCUAAUAUACUCCUAGAGUUAAAAUCUGUUAAUUAAUUCUGUUAUCUCUGUAAAAUUACUAUUUUACCCUUUCAAUUAUACCCUUCCACCAUCACUAACUUUUUUAUUUGCCUUUAAAGUCAGGGGCACAAAAAGUAUUUUGACUUCUGGUCUUUUCCAAUAUACCCCUCUACUGUCACCAACAUUUCUUAUUUGCCCUUAAGUUAAGGGAAAAAUUGGCAUUUUUUUUUUUUUAACUGUGGUAUAUAUUUAACUGUAGGGGUAUUUUGCAAUAAUGGUAGAACAUGUGAGGGGUAUUUUAGAAGGAAAAAAAAAGUAGGGGUAAAUCGGAUAUUUUCAAACGUAUGAGGGGUAUAUAGACAAUUAUCCCGAAUUGAGCUAGAAUACUUUUAGAAGCACCAACCCAUUGAUGCUUCUAUGUUUCUACCCCUUGGAUCUACUCCUUAAUUACUAAUAGCCCUUGGAUCAAAUAUUAUUCCACCUACCACCACAUACCACUACCUACCACUAGCAUCUCAACCUCAAAUCUCUCCAUCCAAUGGCUAAAAACUCAAAAGCACCACCUUCAUGGUGCUUUUGAGAGUAUUCUAGCUCAACUCCAAUUAUCCUUAUAUAUAAUUGAGUUAGAAUACUUUUAGAAGCAUCAAUCCCUUGGUGCUUAUAAGUUUCUAGCCCUUGGAUCUACUCCUUAAUUACUAAUACCCCUUAGAUCAAACACUAUUCCACCUACCACCACCUACCACCACCCACCACCAUCAUCUCAACCCUACAUCUCUUCAUCCAAUGGUUAAAAACUUAAAAGCACCACCCUCUUAGUACUUUUGAGAGCAUUCUUCUAAACUCUCUCUCUCUCUCUCUCUCUCUCUCUAUAUAUAUAUAUAUAUAGAGAGAGAGAGAGAGUGUGUGUGUAAGGACUGAGAUUUUGGCAGUGUAGCUAAAUUCUCUGUUGAUGAUGUUUUUGUGUUUAAUUUAAUUACAAAAG